rnacentral:rRNA from 1 species
GACGAACGCUGGCGGCGUGCUUAACACAUGCAAGUCGAACGGAAAGGCCCUGCUUUUGUGGGGUGCUCGAGUGGCGACCGGGGGAGUAACACGUGAGUAACCUGCCCUUGACUUUGGGAUAACUUCAGGAAACUGGGGCUAAUACCGGAUAGGAGCUCCUGCGGCAGGGUGGGGGUGGGAAAGUUUCGGCGGUUGGGGAUGGACUCGCGGCUUAUCAGCUUGUUGGUGGGGUAGUGGCUUACCAAGGCUUUGACGGGUAGCCGGCCUGAGAGGGUGACCGGCCACAUUGGGACUGAGAUACGGCCCAGACUCCUACGGGAGGCAGCAGUGGGGAAUAUUGCACAAUGGGCGGAAGCCUGAUGCAGCAACGCCGCGUGCGGGAGGACGGCCUUCGGGUUGUAACCGCUUUCGCCUGUGACGAAGCGUGAGUGACGGUAAUGGGUAAAGAAGCACCGGCUAACUACGUG